GGCAAGAUGGCCGAGCGGUCUAUGGCGUGUGACUCAAGCGUUAAGCUUACCUGCAAUAGCGGGUUUCUCAUCCUCGUAUGAGGGCAGGGGUUCGAAUCCCCUUCUUGUCA
rnacentral:tRNA from 1 species